UACCAGACUCCUACGGGAGGCAGCAGUGGGGAAUAUUGCACAAUGGGGGAAACCCUGACGCAGCAACGCCGCGUGAGUGAAGAAGGCCUUCGGGUUGUAAAGCUCUUUAAUCAGGGACGAAGAAUGACGGUACCUGAAGAAUAAGCUCCGGCUAACUCCGUGCCAGCAGCCGCGGUAAUACGGAGGAUGCGAGCGUUAUCCGGAUUUAUUGGGUUUAAAGGGUGCGUAGGCGGAUCGUUAAGUCAGUGGUAAAAUGGGGGGCCCCACCCCCUCCCCGCCAUUGAAACUGGCGCUCUUGAGUGGAAGAGAAGUAUGCGGAAUGCGUGGUGUAGCGGUGAAAUGCAUAGAUAUCACGCAGAACCCCGAUUGCGAAGGCAGCAUGCCGGCUUCCGACUGACGCUGAAGCACGAAAGCGUGGGGAUCGAACAGGAUUAGAUACCCGCGUACU
rnacentral:rRNA from 1 species